rnacentral:piRNA from 1 species
UCAGAGCCGUGAUAGGUGACAAGCUU